rnacentral:misc_RNA from 1 species
GGGCCACUCAUCGAGCACAUGUUAGCGCAGUGCGUCGAGUACAUCGAACGAGCGAGCACUCACGUUUUGGACCUCGUCACAUAAAGUACUAUUUUAUUGAUUCUACAGGUUUGAAGUAAUUGGGGACAGGCUCCCCUUUGCGUUAACUUAGGCUAGAAGAGCAUGAACUACAUCGGCAAGUUCAUAUCCAACUUCAAGGAUUUCUACAAUGAGAUCAACGCUGCUACUUUAACAGGCGCCAUCGAUGUAGUGGUGGUGCGGCAAGAAGAUGGCACCUUCCUCAGCUCCCCGUUCCACGUCCGCUUCGGCAAAAUGGGCGUACUUAGGAGCCGGGAAAAAGUGGUUGAUAUUGAGAUUAAUGGAGAACCGGUAGAUAUACAUAUGAAGUUGGGGGAGACCGGGGAAGCAUUUUUUGUGGAAGAAUUAGAAGAUGGGGUGGAGAUCAGCCCACUGCUUGGAACCUCCCCUCUACCACCCUCAGUUUUUCAAGAAAAACUCGAAUUAGCCAAGGCUGAAGAAGAAGAAUCAAAAUUGCAAGAUUCUGGGGUGGAUGAAUCUAUUUCCUCUUCUUGUAUGUUACCAAAGAGCAAUGAUACUUCAAAUGAAACAAUUGUUCCUGGAAAUCAAGAUUUGUCAGAAUCUACCUUGCUGUCAGAUACACUUGAGAGUGAAGAAGUUACCACUCCCCUGUCAGUUGAUGAUAAACCUAAGAUUGGAAACAGUGAAAUAGGAGUAAUUCAGAGAGUGAGAAAGCAGAACAGGGGGGAACAAAGGGACUGCCAAACUCAAACUGAGAGUCCUACCAUACUUGGUCCCGUGCUUAGGAAGGGCGAUGGCUUGACAAAAGGAUCUUCUACAAGGUCACUAAAUACAGAGAUAUCAAGUUUCAAGCGCAAUGCAUUAGUAGAGGGUCAAGGAAGUAAAACAGAUGGUGAAGAAACUGUCAAGGUGAGCAAGAGUAAUCGUCGUAAACGUAAGAAGCGCUGCAAUGGCAAGAAACAGCGACCAAAGAGUUCAGGGAGCCAGUCGAGUGAUACUUCAACUACAAGUGAAGUAGCGGAUCUUACAGCCGUCUUGCCUCGAGGGACUGUACCUCGAGUUACAAACCAGGAGGGCAUUUUUGUAAUGGAUGAUAUAGAGUCAACUGAUAAGUCUGGUCCAAGCUCGUCUUCUCCCACCACUAACAUGGCGCAGUCCACUUCAUUGCCGUUGCUGCGUGAAAAAUCCCAGGAUGAAGUAGUAGUCGAGUGGAGCGGGUCUCUCUCGCGAUCAAUGGGUCCAGAUUUCCAUCCCUUCAGUGACACGGACCUUAGUCCUCCCCCAAGCCCUUCCAACUCAAGACCACCAACUCCAAUCAAAUCUGACACAGAGUAUGAGGUAGAAAGACAACGAGAAGAUUUUGCUGAUUGUUCAUCUCAGACAGAUGAAAAUAAGUGGUGCUGGAUGUGGGGAGAAUUGCCAACACCACCUCCUAAGACGCCAACACGGAUAACCAACUCUAAGUCGGAUUCUUCUGCUGGAAAGGUAGAAAAUGAUAAAAUGGGCAAGACCAUUAAAGAUGAAGAUGAUGAGCGAUCUGUGUUGAGCAGUAUGUUUAGCUUCAUGCGGGCCACUAAGAAGGCACGGCACAACCCAGAGAGUGAGGGCAUUUACCUUGAUGAUCUCAACUUGGAAGAACUUGACCCUGAGGUGGCUGCCUUGUAUUUUCCUCGUAACUUCAAAGUUCCAGAGAAGCGGGGCUACAACAGCUACUCCACUGGUGCUCCCAAGGAUGAGGAUGCAGAGUCUGGUAAUGGGCCUUCAUUACCCCAGUCACCUCAUAGUGUGGAAGGAGCCAUUGGUGGCCCCAAGAUAUGCAGUGACUCAGACUUUGAAGACUCAAGGCAUCCCAUUUUUGAUUAUAAGGGCUACCAUGAUAUCGCCUUCUCACUGUGUGGACGUCUUCAUGAGUAUGAGGGGAACUUUCCUGAGAGCCUCUUUCUACAGAGUCUUGUAACCUAUGAUGAUUUUUGUGAGAAUCCACAAAUUCUAGACAAUCCUGACCUAGUAGUGAGGUUUGGUGGAAAGUACCUCAACUGGAAUGCGGCUUCUCCUCAGAUCCUCUCCCUGGUCCUGUUCCAGCGAUCAGUCCCACAGAAAUUAGCAGAUGAACUUGGCAAGGAACACAUGCCCAAGAAGGAAACCAGAAAACGUUCAGAAUCAAAGGGUUACUCUUGGUUUUCAUCUUGGAGGCGUAAUAACCAGACUGAAGACUUAGAAAACAACAAGGAUGCCAAGAACGAUUCUGAGAAAAACGUAACCUCUGACGGUACUAUGGAGACUACCCAACUAUGUAUCCAGAAUCUUCUUCUCCCAAGAUUUUGCAAUCUUGAGCUCCACCAAGGAACUCCAACCUCAGGAUCAGAAGGAAUCACCAAUAUCUCUGAUUCCAACGUUAUUGAAGUGACUGCAGCCGAGACACAAACCAGUUUACCCGGAACUCCUAGGAAGAAGGGAGUUCACAGUCACAAACCAGGAACAGAUUCGUCAGAGUCCGAGGACCUAGAAGAUGGAAAGGAGAGAAAAUUCCACGGAGAACGUUUCAAGAAGAGUUUAAGGCUGUCCUCUGACCAGAUUACCCAACUAAACCUUCGGGAGGGUAGCAACGAGGCACUCUUCUCGGUAACAACAGCUUACCAAGGAACCACUCGCUGCAAGUGUCACAUCUUCUUGUGGAAUUUCAAGGAUAAGAUUGUUGUGUCAGAUAUUGAUGGCACCAUCACCAAGUCAGAUGUGUUGGGUCAUCUUUUACCAAUCCUGGGUAAAGAUUGGGCCCAAAGUGGUGUUGCUCAACUCUUCACAAAGAUUAAGAACAAUGGUUAUCACUUCCUCUACCUCUCAGCCAGGGCUAUAGGUCAAGCACGCAUUACCCGUGAUUAUCUACGAUCCAUCAAACAGGGUGAUCUCUCAUUACCUGACGGUCCUCUUCUUUUGAACCCAACCUCAUUAGUUCAAGCCUUCCACCGUGAAGUCAUUGAGAAGAAGCCAGAAGAAUUUAAGAAAUCAUGUUUGAGAGAUAUUCAGGCUCUUUAUCCCUCAGAUAAAAAUCCAUUUUAUUCUGGAUAUGGAAACAAAAUCAACGAUGUUUGGGCAUAUCGAGCUGUAGGGAUUCCAAUUUCUCGAAUCUUCACGAUUAAUCAUCGAGGUGAACUGAAGCACGAGCUCACACAGACAUUCCAGUCCUCCUCCAAGCCCCUGAAAUUUCCACGAUCAAGUGCAUCACCUUGUCCCUUUUACAUUCGACAAAGCACAGUAGUUGAUGAAACUUUCCCACCUAUUGAAAAGGCAAUGGUCCCUCAAAAUAUUGAUUUGGUAUACAGUGAUAGUGACUAUGAAUAUAACGGCAGCAGUGACGAUGUUUCCACUGAUAGUGUGGACAGUGACUGGUAGGGUCAUCCACCAGAUUAGUCACUGCCACUUGACUCAUUCAAAGAGAAAAUUAGAGAAUGUGAAAAUUAUUUGAAUGUCAUGUAUAUACCUCAGAGUGUGCAGUAUACUUGAUGAAGCUUUUAUAUGGUUACAAUUGGGACCUAAUGGUGAUGGGAGAUGAAUUCCAGAAUCCGACCUUGCUUGAGGUUAAUGAAGUCCAAGUUAUGGGUCUGCAUCUGUGUAGACUUUGAUCAAUAGGAUACUCCAACCUAAGUGACAUUUCCAACCACAUGUUCCCCCCAGUGGCUCACCAGGAGACUCUGGGAGAGUACUCCUCUCUCCAGUAUUGGCGGCCCCGUAUGCCAGAUGUAUCUGAUGAAAUAGAAGCUGUCCUUGCCCAAGAAAGAGGAAAAUAACUUCCUUCAAGCUGUAGCUGAAUAUUUUUAAAUAAUUGUUG